CGAUGUUCUUGGAAGCAACGAAUCUUCUUUUGUAGAACAUUUUGGAAUGAAUAGGGAGGAGUUUGGCAUCCUUGUGGAACGCCUUUGUGGAUUGGCCCAAAAAGACACCGCAUUUGGAAAGGCCAUUCCUCUCGAUAAGCGGGUUGCAAUCACAUUAUAUACCUUAUGAUCUUCUGCGGAGUAUCGGACAGUGGGCACGUUGUUUGGUGUGUCGAAAGCAAUGGUCUGCAAAUUAUUGCUAGAAUUUUGCCAUGAGACCUGUAGAGCUCUGUCAUCCGACUACAUCCCGCAGAACUUCCUCACGCAAUCAAAAUUGGAGGAAUGUGUUAAAGGCUUUGAAGAAUUUGGCUUCCCACAAUGCGCGAUUGAUGGCUGUCACAUUGAUAUUCAUCCAUGUGCAACUGAUACAGCUGACUAUUUUAAUUACAAAGGCUGGUACUCAACUAUAUAUAUUGUUAGCAAUGGUUGAUGCAAUAUGCAAUUAUUGAGUGAUACUCAUUUUUGCAUUUGUAUAUUGAUGUCAAAUGUAAUUUUAGAUAUAGAUUUCUUUAUAUAAACUCGACACUUUUGAAGAAUAACUCGCGCAUUAUUUCGGGAGUUGAUGUGCCUGUUGUGGUGAUUGGCGAUUCGGCUUUCAAAUUUUCGAGUCAAGUAAUAAAGCCAUAUGCUUUUUCAACUACUGAGAAUGAAACUAUGAAGGCUUUCAAUUACACUUUAGCCAAAUCACGCAGAGUGGUCGGAAAUGCUUUCGGACAUUUGAAAGCUCGAUUUCGGCGAAUUGGAAAAGGACUCGAUAAUCGUUGUAGUAGUUGUAUUUUACAUAAUUUCACGAAACGUAAAAACAUUGAUAUUCAGGGAAUUUUGGAACCAAGCCCCGAUGAACCACAUUAGCUCGAGAAAUCAUACGAAGACGCAUA